rnacentral:lncRNA from 1 species
CAUGGUGAGGACAUGACAUCUCCAAGUCCUUGAAUCGCUCCCAACACUCAUUAAAACUUUCUUGUGGGAGUUGUUGGAAUGCAACAAGCUCAUCUCUAACAUUGGAAGUUCUUGAAGGAGGAAAAUAUUUUCCCAAGAAAGUUUCUUGCAUCUCAACCCAUGUGCGUAUCGAUCUAGGAGGCAACUUACUUAACCACUUCCUCGCAUAGUCCUUGAGUGUGAAAGGGAACAAUCUAAGCUUUAAACCAUCGGGAUUGAGACCAUGUAGUUGAACGGUAGUACACACUUCUUCAAACUCCGCAAUAUGAUCAUAGGGAUUAUUUGAGGGCAUGCCAUGGAAUAUGGGUAGAAUGCUCAAAGUACUUGGCUUGAUCUCAAAAUGAUGCUCGCAUGGAGGGAGCACAAUACAAGAAGGAUGAUCAACAAUUGUGGGACUAGUGUAUUCCCUCAUUGUCUUUCGCUCCCCCAUGGUGUUUGUAGGUUGUGAUCUUAAUGGACUCGGUGAAAGGCUUCUUGGAUGUACUCUUGGUCUAGGAGGUGCUCGCUUUCUUGGACGACCUCUUUGUCUCUUUGGAGUUUCACUCAUGCACCUCGCAAAAAUAUGACCACGUAAGAAAUACUC